rnacentral:snRNA from 1 species
GGAUGAUCUGGCUGCAGCAUUUAUCACCCCAUUGAUCACUAGGGUUGAUUGGGUGAUCUCAGAGCUCCAUGUUCUUCCCUCCUGAAGCUAUAUGUUCAGUAGAAGAGAACAACUAUCCCAGAUAGAAAGAGGCUACUGAUUAUUUCUUUUG